rfam:Thermincola sp. JR, complete genome.
UACAAAAAAGGCGAUGGGGCUCGCCUUGAACCGCUGUUUUUACAGAUGAUGGCUCCUACUGGCUU